AAAAAGAAACCAACAGGGAUUGCCCUAGUAACGGCGAGUGAAGCGGCAACAGCUCAAAUUUGAAAUCUGGCCUUCUGGUCCGAAUUGUAAUUUGUAGAGGAUGACUUUGGUUAGGUACCUUCCGAGUUCCUUGGAACAGGACGCCUUAGAGGGUGAGAGCCCCGUACGGUUGGAUGCCGAUCCUUUGUAAGUCUCCUUCGACGAGUCGAGUAGUUUGGGAAUGCUGCUCUAAAUGGGAGGUAAAUUUCUUCUAAAGCUAAAUACCGGCCAGAGACCGAUAGCGCACAAGUAGAGUGAUCGAAAGAUGAAAAGCACUUUGAAAAGAGGGUUAAAUAGUACGUGAAAUUGUUGAAAGGGAAGGGUUUAUGACCAGACCUUUGCGUUGGGAAUCAUCCGGUGUUCUCACCGGUGCACUUCCCUUCGUUGAGGCCAGCAUCAGUUCUAGUUGGGGGAUAAAGACAUUAGGAAUGUGAUUCCUCCGGGAAUGUUAUAGCCUUUUGUGUAAUACCCUGACCGGGACUGAGGACCGCGCUUCGGCUAGGAUGCUGGCAUAAUGGUCAUCAGCCACCCGUCUUGAAACACGGACCAAGGAGUCGAACAUUUAUGCGAGUGUUUGGGUGUUAAACCCUCACGCGUAAUGAAAGUGAACGGAGGUGAGAGCCCUUACGGGUGCAUCAUCGACCGAUCCUGAUGUCUUCGGAUGGAUUUGAGUAAGAGCAUAACUGUUCGGACCCGAAAGAUGGUGAACUAUGCGUGGAUAGGGUGAAGCCAGAGGAAACUCUGGUGGAGGCUCGCAGCGGUUCUGACGUGCAAAUCGAUCGUCAAAUCUGCGCAUGGGGCGAAAGACUAAUCG
rnacentral:rRNA from 1 species